rnacentral:lncRNA from 1 species
CAUUGAUCCAAAUAGUAGAACAAUGUAAACAAGAACAUCAAACACUGACAUGUUCUCUCUCCCUUCCCUUCAAUAGCUGACAAAGUAUGGUGUGAAGUGGUGGAUCGGACUUGAAGAAGGAGGAGCCAGAGAUCAAAUUCAGUACGGACCGACACUAAUCCAUGUUUAACGUUAUUUGACAAGUUGUGUGUGCCAAAUGAUCAGGCUGGGUUUUGAUAAUCGAUUCGCUGAAUGGCCUUCACCUGUUAUCCUUAACUUACAAAUUUUCAUUCGUCUAACAAUAGGCAUGAGUGCUUUUCAGUUCAGUACCAAUGAAACCAUCAUCAAACUAUCCGACAAACAUAUCAAUUUCCUGUGCAGGCUUCUGCCUGUCCUAUUUUGUGUGUAUGUGAGAGAGAAAGAGAGAGAGAGAUAAAAACACAGUAUAAAGUUAAAUUUAGAAAACUUUGUGAGUACAGUGCAGUACACUUAACCAAAUUGAAUAAACUGUUAUCCUUCAAGUCUAUACCCCAGAACUACAAGGAUAGAUGCAGAUACUGAACAUGCAAAAUGAGACCUUAAUGAUUUGGUUUGGUUUGGUUUGGUUUGGUUUGGUUUGGUUUGGUUUGGUUUGGUUUGGUUUGGUUUGGUUUGGUUUGGUUUGGUUUGGUUUGGUUUUUUCCUGAGGCUGGAGGGAUGGCUCAGUGCUUAAGAGCACUCGCUUCUCUUUCAGAAUUUCGUUCUCAGCACCCACACUGCACAGCUCCCAAUCACCUGUAACUCCAGCUCAAGGAGAUCUGAUGCCCCCUUCUGGACUCCACAGGCAUCUACACACAUGCAGCACAAAUACUCACAAACGCAGUGAUAACAACACUUACAUGGAAAAAUAAAUCUCUGUAAACUUUCCUACAGGUGGAGUAACGGGUCGCCCGUGAUAUUCCAGAACUGGGACAAAGGAAGAGAAGAAAGAGUGGAUAGCCAGAGAAAGCGAUGUGUCUUCAUAUCUUCCAUAACAGGUCACUGUUCCUUUUGAUGUUUGGGUUUAUACUGCAACCACCUCUAGAGGUUACCAGUCUCCUCCAUGCGGUUAUUUUUGUUUUCUGUUGAUCUUGUACAGUCUCACAAGUUGUCAGGUGUCUGGAUGACUGCUCAUACUAUGAAAUUCAUGUACUCACAUGCCUGUAAACUUACAGAUAGGUAAGUCCUCAAGAGCCAACAGAACCCGAAGGGAGCCUACGGACACUGUUACAGACACGCACCUCUGGUCCAGAGGCUAAGACCUGGUUUCCUGGCACCCAUGUGGUGGCUCCCAACUAUCUGUAACUCCAGUUCCAGAGAUCAAAUGUCUUCUUCUGACCUCCUCUGGGAUCAGGCACACACGUGGUCCACAUACAUCCAUUCAAAGCAAUAAAAAUAAGUAUUUUUGGUAAAGACAAGUAUGCAUUUCCCUAUCAAAUAUAUAAAAAAAAAUGUUUCUUGUACCCACCCAAAACAAUUAAGAGUUAACUAAUUUGGACAGAUACAGUGGGGAAAAAACGUGCCUUGUAGAUGCUAUUCUCUGUGAGACUUCAGUGGGGAGCUAUUUCUUCAUACAUCUCUAUUUUCCUGUUUGUACACUGACUGACACUUUAACCUCUGGGACAUUUACUUCCAUCUUCCCUCACAUUAAAAAGAAGAAGAAGAAGAAUACCCUACAUUUAGGGCUAGAGAGAUGACUCAGCAGUUAAGGUACCCAGGUUCAAGUCCCAGCACCCUCAUGGAAGCUCACAACUGUCUGUAACUCCAGUUCCAGGGGAUCUGGUACCCUCCUCAUGCAGACAUACAUGCAGGCAAACACCAGUGCACAUAAAAAUAAACAGUCUUUAAAUAAAACACCUAUGCCCGGGUCACUGUCCCACCAUCCUCACCAUCUCUGGCUCUGAUGAAUGCACAUCUUAGAAGAAAACCUGUCUGCAAAUUGGAUCCCAUGGUACAGUGAAGCUAGAGACUGGCUUCUGUAUGUUCUAAGAACAAUGCUAUCUAGGCUGAAUCAAGCCAUAUUUUAAGGGGAAAAGGUAGAGGGAGGGAGAGAGAAAGAAAAGUAAUAAGGAGAAAAACAUAUUCAUAACUAACUUGGUCAGAAAAGAAAUGAAGAGGAAAUCCUCUGUGGGCGAGCAGAGUUAGGAGAAAGCUGUAGUUAAUCUGCUGGCUUUACCAGCAGGUGUCACAACAGCCUGUGGAAAGGGCUAUUUGCAAGAAGAGCUGAGCAUUCCAGUGACAAUCACAGCCCAGCCCCACCUUAGAAGCCCCAGUUUUUACUCCUGUUCUGAUACAAGAAGCUUAGCCUGCCUUGCACCUCGGCUUCUACUCAGGCAAUUGCUUACGUGCCCUGACACCUCUCCUCUGGAACUGUAGCCCUCCUAAGUUAAAAGAUAGUUUGCAGGGGGCUGGGAAGCUGGGGCUCUAUCUUACAGAAGACAGGCUCCUAUGGGAGCCGGUCUCAGUUAAGGGUCAAGACUGAGAAAUCUUCCUUUGUGAGGAGUUCCUGACUUGACCUUUCUGUAUUAGUAUGUACUCGGAAGAUCUUUUAUCCGAGUAAGAUAAGACAUGUUUUGGAGUUUUCAGGUUGGGGAUGCUAAGAUGGACUUUGCCAGUUUUAGAAAUUAGAUUGGGUAUAUCCAACCUGCAUUUUCUGAAGAUAUUUUAUAAAGUUUAGAGAUGUUUUACAAUCUUUACAAAGGACAAUCUUAGAAUCAUUUCCCCUGUAUACUGAAGCUGGAUACUUAAAAACUAUGAAAUCUUAUUUCGUGCCCCAAGUCAAUUAUCCGUAGGACUUUAAAUUAAUGCUGUUUCAGUUUUAGCGUUUGUUUACUUUAGUCAAAAGUUCUUAUAUUCUUACAUUGUAAUUACUCAGGUCUCACCUUGCCCAGGUCAGUGUCACUAGAAAUCUCUGUAAUUAGUAGUUUGGUUCAGUUUCCAGACUUCAAAAAAGAAAAAAUGAAAAAUCAGAGCAGCCAUGAAAAGCAACCCAUAAGAACUUGGGUGGAGUCUUCCUUGUUCCUGAGACUUUCUGACCUGUCUCCUCCUGCAGGGCUCUGGGGGACUGAGAACUGCUCUGUUCCUUUGCCCAGCAUCUGUAAGCGAGUGAAGAUAUGGGUCAUCGAGAAGGAGAAGCCGCCGACACAGCCUGGGACAUGCCCCAAGGGGUGGCUGUAUUUUAACUAUAAGGUAAAUUUCUUCUUGUGAAGUCAUCUUUGUCUCUCUUUGUUGAACUUCAAUUGAAAAGUUAUUAAAAGUGAGGGUAGGGUUUUUUGGUUUUUGGUUUUGGGUUUUGUUUUGUUUUGUUUUUUUAAGCACCAGUUUUCUGAGGGACCUGAGAUGUCACUAUCACAUCCUAAUGGUUUUAGAAGCUUUUCCUUUAGGC